rnacentral:rRNA from 1 species
AUUGAACGCUGGCGGCAGGCUUAACACAUGCAAGUCGAGCGGGGAAGGGUAGCUUGCUACCUGACCUAGCGGCGGACGGGUGAGUAAUGCUUAGGAAUCUGCCUAUUAGUGGGGGACAACAUUCCGAAAGGAAUGCUAAUACCGCAUACGCCCUACGGGGGAAAGCAGGGGAUCUUCGGACCUUGCGCUAAUAGAUGAGCCUAAGUCAGAUUAGCUAGUUGGUGGGGUAAAGGCCUACCAAGGCGACGAUCUGUAGCGGGUCUGAGCGGAUGAUCCGCCACACUGGGACUGAGAGACGGCCCAGACUCCUACGGGAGGCAGCAGUGGGGAAUAUUGGACAAUGGGCGAAAGCCUGAUCCAGCCAUGCCGCGUGUGUGAAGAAGGCCUUUUGGUUGUAAAGCACUUUAAGCGAGGAGGAGGCUACCGAGAUUAAUACUCUUGGAUAGUGGACGUUACUCGCAGAAUAAGCACCGGCUAACUCUGUGCCAGCAGCCGCGGUAAUAC